rnacentral:tRNA from 1 species
GCCUGGCUGGCUCAGUCAGUGGAGCGUGCAACUCUUGAUCUCAAGGUUGUGAGUUCAAGUCCUAUGCUGGGUG